rnacentral:hammerhead_ribozyme from 1 species
CUUGGCCAUUACCUGCAGCCGAUGAGCUCCCAAAGGAGCCAAGCCAUUUAGGUCCUGUAGUGCUGGCUGUAUGUUUU